GUGAAAGUCCUGGAAACUGAAACCAUAAACCUACAGAACAGGUACUGCAUGGGGUGUGGAAGUGCAAUCUUAUCCCACGCUGUGGAGUCUGUGCUUCAGACUGGAUCCAGAGUGGCAGCUCAGUCUCUGGCCUCCACCACACUUUAAACCAGC
rnacentral:sRNA from 1 species